GAUGAACGCUAGCUACAGGCUUAACACAUGCAAGUCGAGGGACCGGCGCACGGGUGAGUAACACGUAUACAACCUGCCCUUUACUCGGGGAUAGCCUUUCGAAAGAAAGAUUAAUACCCGAUAUAAAGGAUGGGGAUGAGUUCCAUUAGGUUGUUGGUGAGGUAACGGCUCACCAAGCCUUCGAUGGAUAGGGGUUCUGGGAGGAAGGUCCCCCAAUGUGUAUCUGGUACACGGUCCAAACGCCUACGGGAGGUAGCAGUGAGGAAUAUUGGUCAAUGGGCGCUAGCCUGAACCAGCCAAUUAUCGGUAAGGAUGAAGGCUUAUGGGUCGUAAACUGCUUUUAUAUAAGAAUAUGUAUUAUAUGAAUAAGGAUCGGCUAACUCCGUGCCAGCAGCCGCGGUAAUAC
rnacentral:rRNA from 1 species